rnacentral:rRNA from 1 species
GACGAACGCUGGCGGCGUGCCUAAUACAUGCAAGUUGAGCGCUGAAGGUUGGUACUUGUACCAACUGGAUGAGCAGCGAACGGGUGAGUAACGCGUGGGGAAUCUGCCUUUGAGCGGGGGACAACAUUUGGAAACGAAUGCUAAUACCGCAUAAAAACUUUAAACACAAGUUUUAAGAUUGAAAGAUGCAAUUGCAUCACUCAAAGAUGAUCCCGCGUUGGAUUAGCUAGUUUGUGAGGUAAAGGCUCACCAAGGCGAUGAUACAUAGCCGACCUGAGAGGGGGAUCGGCCACAAUGGGAAUGAGACACGGCCCCAACCCCUACGGGAGGCAGCAGUAGGGAAUUUUCGGCAAUGGACGAAAGGCUGACCGAGCAACGCCGCGUGAGUGAAUAAGGGUUUCGGAUCGGAAAACUCUGUUGGUAGAGAAGAACGUUGGUGAGAGUGGAAAGCUCAUCAAGUGACGGUAACUACCCAGAAAGGGACGGCUAACUACGUG